rnacentral:misc_RNA from 1 species
CUCUAGUGGAUAGGCCACUGCAUGCAGUUUAAGUGAUAACUGGACCUAUAAUCUUGAGUCCAAUCUAGUUGCAUUUGAGAGGGAAGUGUUGGAUGUGCCACAUUGCCAACAAACAAGAAAAAGCAAGGAAAUAUAAAGCAAGAGAAGCCAAGCCAAAUUGGCUUGAGCCGUUUUAGUGGAGACAAAGCUAAACAUAUGAACCUUGUCGACAUUCAUCCACACUCUUUGGAUCAAAGAAUUUCACAAUAUUAAACAAAAUUCAAUUUCAAGUGUUAUGUCAAAGUUAUGAAUGAAUGGAUAUAUGUAUGGAAAUAGGCAAAAGUGAGCAGAUAUAGAGACAAAGUGAUGAAAUAUUGAAAGCUUAGAAAUUAUAGUCAUUGUAGAA